rnacentral:rRNA from 1 species
UAACGAAUCUUCCGCAAUGGGCGAAAGCCUGACGGAGCAAUGCCGCGUGUGGGAUGAAGCGCCUUCGGCGUGUAAACCACUGUCAGGGAAUGGAACCAAUGAUUAUUCCCAAAGGAAGUGGCGACUAACUCUGUGCCAGCAGUCGCGGUAAUACAGAGGCCACAAGCGUUAGUCGGAAUCACUGGGCUUAAAGGGUGCGUAGGCGGGCCCGCAAGCGUCUUGUGAAAUCCCAUGGCUCAACCAUGGAAUUGCAGGGCGAACUGCGGGUCUUGAGGCAGGUAGGGCCGGAAGAACAGUAGGUGGAGCGGUGAAAUGCGUAGAUAUCUACUGGAAUGCCGAUGGGGAAGCCGUCCGGCUGGGCCUGUCCUGACGCUGAGGCACGAAAGCGUGGGGAGCAAACAGGAUUAGAUACCCUAGUAGUCCCUGAGCGGGCUGGCAAGGCGCAU